UACGUAGGGUGCGAGCGUUAAUCGGAAUUACUGGGCGUAAAGCGUGCGCAGGCGGUUUUGUAAGCCAGAUGUGAAAUCCCCGGGCUUAACCUGGGAAUGGCAUUUGGGACUGCAAGGCUGGAGUGUGGCAGAGGAGACUGGAAUUCCCGGUGUAGCGGUGAAUGCGUAGAUAUCGAGAGGAACACCUGCGGCGAAGGCGGGUUGCUGGGCUGACACUGACGCUGAUUGUGCGAAAGCUAGGGGAGCGAACGGG
rnacentral:rRNA from 1 species